AUCCCGGAGACGGAGCCCAUCCCGCCCUGCCAUGUCUUGAUCCUCAGGCCGUUGUCCGAGUUCCGGAUCACCGCGUUCCGCACCGUCACGUUCGCCACGCACGCCUGCGAGUUGUGGACGCCCAGGCUGCCGAUGCUGCAAAUUAAGAUUCAGGGACCAGGACACCGAAUCACGGUGCACAAGGAGACGAGCGGAAAGAGAAAUGGCGGAAGCUAAGGUGAGUCCGUCAUGCAUUUAUAGGCCCUUUUGGGAUGUUCCUCACGGGUUGUUGUUUUCUGCUGAACCGUACCUCUGGUCUGGUGCCCACCCACCAUACUAAACGCACGGAUUGGUUGUAUAUGUACACGACAGUUCUAUCAUAUUCAGAAUUCAGUUCA